UUAAUAUUACUAGUGAAUUUCUAUUUAGGACUCCCCCAUUAUAGUGAAUUUUCUUAAUAUGAAACCUUUAUCACUUUCUGUUAACCAUUAUCCCUAGUGUUGGACAAAUAGAAAAUAGUUUAAAUGAUGAAAUUAUUAUAACUCAAAUAACAAACUAUAUUCCUUUGUAUAGGAAUAAUUCAAAUGAAUAGAGUUUCACAAGUUAAGCAUAUGAAAAGACAAAGACUCAACAACUAAAAUACG
rnacentral:lncRNA from 1 species